UCUGCUCACUGAAUAUUAAAUAGCCGCAAUUAUAUUGUGCUAAGGUAGCAUAAUCAUUUGUCUUUUAAUUAAAGACUAGAAUAAAUGAUUUCACAUUUAAUUUAUUUUUUUAUAUUUAAAUCUUAAAUUUUUUUUAAAUUUAAAAAAAAAUUUAUUCUUAAAAAAGACGAAAAGACCCUAUUAAACUUUACUAUAGUUUAACUGGGGAAGUUAAUUAAUUAUAAUUUUAAUAUAAAUAAUUUUUAUAUUCCAAUAAUAUUGAUUAAAAUAAGUUACUAUAGGGAUAACAGCGUAAUAUUUUUUAAAGCUCUUAUUUUAAAAAUAAAUUACGACCUCGAUGUUGAAUUAUUUUUUCUAAAAAAAGCAAAAUUUUUUUAAGAAAGUCUGUUCGACUUUUAAUUAAUUACAUGAUCUGAGUUCAAACCGGAG
rnacentral:rRNA from 1 species